GACGGGGCCCGCACAAGCGGAGGAACAUGUGGUUUAAUUCGAUGAUACGCGAGGAACCUUACCCGGGCUUGAAUUGCAGAGGAAUAUAGUUGAAAGAUUAUCGCCGCAAGGUCUCUGUGAAGGUGCUGCAUGGUUGUCGUCAGCUCGUGCCGUGAGGUGUCGGCUUAAGUGCCAUAACGAGCGCAACCCUUAUCAUUAGUUACUAACAGGUCAUGCUGAGGACUCUAGUGAGACUGCCGUCGUAAGAUGUGAGGAAGGUGGGGAUGACGUCAAAUCAGCACGGCCCUUACGUCCGGGGCUACACACGUGUUACAAUGGGGGGUACAGAGGGCAGCUACCGGGCGACCGGAUGCCAAUCCCAAAAACCUCUCUCAGUUCGGAUCGAAGUCUGCAACCCGACUUCGUGAAGCUGGAUUCGCUAGUAAUCGCGCAUCAGCCACGGCGCGGUGAAUACGUUCCCGGGCCUU
rnacentral:rRNA from 1 species